CGAAAGCCUGACGGAGCAAGACCGCGUGAGGGAGGAAGGCUCUUGGGUUGUAAACCUCUUUUCUCAGGGAAGAAGCUCUGACGGUACCUGAGGAAUCAGCAUCGGCUAACUCCGUGCCAGCAGCCGCGGUAAUACGGAGGAUGCAAGCGUUAUCCGGAAUCAUUGGGCGUAAAGCGUCCGCAGGUGGCUCUUCAAGUCUGCCGUCAAAACUCAGGGCUUAACCCUGAACAGGCGGUGGAAACUGAAAAGCUAGAGUGCGGUAGGGGUAGAGGGAAUUCCCGGUGUAGCGGUGAAAUGCGUAGAGAUCGGGAAGAACACCAGUGGCGAAAGCGCUCUGCUGGACCUGCACUGACACUGAGGGACGAAAGCUAGGGGAGCG
rnacentral:rRNA from 1 species